AGGUGCAUUUAUACUUAUUUGUGCUUAAGAAUUAUGGAUAUUUUGUACAAGAAAAAAGAACAUCACAUGGCCUAUGGGGGAGAGCGAUCAUCCCUUUAGCCGCCCCUCCCCCUCAGAUACGCGCCUGAGUAUAGUUGAAUUUAUAAUAUAAAUAAUAUUGACGCUUUCGUAUAAUUUAUUAUACAAAUUUUAAGGAAGUUUAUGAUUUCUUCGUUGUGCCUUGAAUUAGGUAGAAGUGAAGUACUAAGGUUUUCGGUUAUUCAGGUUAAUUUGGCAUUUUUGGAAUUAGAGAUUUUAUUAAACGGCUUCAUUAAUAUAUGACCGCAGGCCUCAAGUUUUGGACUGAGACUAUUGUCUAGGAACUCGAUUAAAAUGUUGAUAAAUUUAUUGAAUCUGAGAUUGAAUUUUUUGGUAAAAAAAAAAAAGAAAAAUGUUAAUACAUUUUCAAUCCGUUUGACUCUAUGUGGUAUUUCCUCGAACUGUUAACCCGUCGACAACGGUACGAUCGAAAAGAUUAUUGUUUUGCGAUUUCGUGAUCUUAUAAUAAAUAAAUACUCACAAUAUGCAACGAAAGUUACGUGCAACUUGAUUUUAACCAUUUAGGUACAAUUUAGGGCAGUUAUUAGGUAGCGGUAUUAACUCUAGUGCCUAAUAUAAUAUAAUAUCC